rnacentral:rRNA from 1 species
UACAGAGGUCUCAAGCGUUGUUCGGAUUCAUUGGGCGUAAAGGGUGCGUAGGCGGCGCGGUAAGUCGGGUGUGAAAUCUCGGAGCUUAACUCCGAAACUGCAUUCGAUACUGCCGUGCUUUGAGGACUGGAGAGGGAGACUGGAAUUUACGGUGUAGCGGUGAAAUGCGUAGAUAUCGUAAGGAAGACCGUGGCGAAGGCGGGUCUCUGGAC